AGGCCUAGUAGUGGAGCAAACCAAGGAAACAGAAUCUUUGCCCCUCGCUUCGGCUCUGCUUUCGGCAAUAAUUCUAGAAAUGGCGGUGCUGAUGUUCCUCUUCGUGGUUAUCAGAUGAACAGUUCCUUCGUCCUCAUGGUGGUGCCCCUCUGACUUCGUCUUUCAAGAUUGGAGAUUCGCAGUUUGAGUCUAGUGAGCGUGUUCGAUACACCUAUGACCAGCUGUUGCAACUGAGGAAGGUUGUUGAUGUGCCUGAGGAUAUCCUGAAAAUCAAACAAGAAAUUGAAGCUGAAUUUUGCAGUGAAGAGCAGAACUGGUGUCAUGGAGAUGCACAUCUGCAAUCUCAAUCCCAAAAUCGAAAUUCUAAACCAAAAAACUAUGACUGGCAUGGACAAUCCUCACAGUUGCAUGCUACUGGUGAGGAGAAUUCCUGGGAUACUAUUCGGGAAAGUAAGGAGUUAGCACGUCGGUUGGUUCAAGGC